GAUGAAGAACGCAGCGAAAUGCGAUACGUAAUAUGAAUUGCAGAUAUUCGUGAAUCAUCGAAUCUUUGAACGCACAUUGCGCCCUUUGGUAUUCCAAAGGGCAUGCCUGUUUGAGCGUCAUUUCUCCCUCAAACCCCCGGGUUUGGUGUUGAGCAAUACGCUAGGUUUGUUUGAAAGAAUUUAACGUGGAAACUUAUUUUAAGCGACUUAGGUUUAUCCAAAAACGCUUAUUUUGCUAGUGGCCACCACAAUUUAUUUCAUAACUUUGACCUCAAAUCAGGUAGGACUACCCGCUGAACUUAAGCAUAUCAAUAAGCGGAGGA
rnacentral:misc_RNA from 1 species